UACGUAGGGGGCAAGCGUUGUCCGGAAUCAUUGGGCGUAAAGCGCGUGUAGGCGGUUCGGUAAGUCGGCUGUGAAAGUCCAGGGCUCAACCCUGGGAUGCCGGUCGAUACUGCCGGACUAGAGUUCGGAAGAGGCGAGUGGAAUUCCCGGUGUAGCGGUGAAAUGCGCAGAUAUCGGGAGGAACACCAAUGGCGAAGGCAGCUCGCUGGGACGUUACUGACGCUGAGGAGCGAAAGCAUGGGGAGCGAACAGG
rnacentral:rRNA from 1 species